rnacentral:lncRNA from 1 species
GCCGGCGCCGGACGUCAACACCGUUUACAGCCUGGUCAACGUGCCUCCACAGAAACAGGCGAGUUCAGCAAGCGACACUGCACGAACCUGCUAGAGUUAAAGCAACGGCUGAUUCUGAAUGAACAGUCAAAAGUCAGUGAUUGAGAACAGCAUUAGAUGCUUGGAUUUAGAAAUGACGGUCGUAGACUGCAUUGGAAACUUGAGCAUGUUAAGAUGUGGUGUUUACUGCAGCAGGCAGAUAAGAUCUAAUAAAAGGCGCUGCAGUGGAAAUAGCAGAAAAGCGUUAUUGGGUGUUGAGUCUGUAGCAACCACAACACAGACUGAAGCGUCUCUGCUCAAUGUGGAAAUCCCCCCGCGUUAUUUUCUGCCAGUAACCUGGUGAAAACCACUCAGAUUAGAGGUUUGAGGUAUAAAUGUUUUUAACCUACACCUAAAUUUAAAUAUCUUACAAACUGCCUUCCUUAGAAGCCGUGAAGCCGUUUCUGAGCGGCGGAGUUUGAACGGCACAUCCGUCCGUCAGCCCACAGGACAGCAGUCACGCAGUGAUUUCACGCUGCGGCGCCGUUUCCAGCAUGAAUGACCUGCUGUGCCGCGCACUGCAUUCACUUGUUUGUCUGCGUGUGCUCAGGCUGCCGUCGCACACAAGGCCGUCCGGCUGCAAGGUGGCCCCACGGAGGCCCAUUCUCCCAACUACGCCUCCCUGCACUUUGGCAGCAAGACGACGUGAGCAUCUGUGCUGCACAGAAACCCAACAUCGCAAGCAUUGUGACAGGAAGCGAUUUUAUCAUAUUUCUUUUAUUAGCAACAAACAGCCACAACCGGCGGCGGACGAUGUUUAUGCCAAGGUGUGCAGGUCGAAGCCCCAUAAAACGAAUGAAAACGAAUGGCUGACGGACUACGAGAACGUGGGCGCCACGGUUGCAGCCAAGGCCCCGGAGCCCUCGGACGACGACGACACCAGCAGCGACGACGACGUGCAGCUCAACUACGCGCAGGUGAGCUUCAAGGCGAAGCCCGGACGCCAGCGCGGCAGCGGAGACUCCAGCAGCGGAGACUCCAGCAGCGGAGACUCCAGCAGCGGAGACUCCAGCAGCGGAGACGACUACGACGUGCAGUAUUCUGACAUCAAAAUCUGA